rnacentral:lncRNA from 1 species
AAUUGUUGAACUCAGUGCAAGAUAAACAGUGAAAUGAGUUGGUGCAUCAGCUCCUGGUGUUCAGUUCUAUCCUUUUUUUCCAGAAGAUGCGAUCAACUUGGGAAAGGUUUAGAGAAGCAGAUGGGACCAUCCCUCUGCCAUAUUCCAGCGCAAAUAGGAUCAAGAUCAUGAGCGGGUCUGUAACCUGAUCAGGGCUGCACCAGCUCUUCAAGAGGGAAAGACGUCUUAGGCCAUUAUCAUUGCCAUCUCACUGUCAGGAAAACAUGUGAGAUCUGAGACAUCAGAGACCAAGGGCAAGCAGAGGACACAUUCACAGAUGAAGUGGGGAGAAGAGGGCUGGAAAAAGAAAUUGGACCCCUCC